rnacentral:tRNA from 1 species
UCCCUGGUGGUCUAGUGGUUAGGACUUGGCACUUUCACUGCUGAGGGCCCAGAUUUGAUCCCUGGUCCAGGAA